UACGUAGGGCGCAAGCGUUGCCCGGAAUUAUUGGGCGUAAAGAGCUCGUAGGCGGUUUGUCGCGUCUGCUGUGAAAACCUAAGGCUCAACCUUGGGCUUGCAGUGGGUACGGGCAGACUAGAGUGCGGUAGGGGUGACUGGAAUUCCUGGUGUAGCGGUGGAAUGCGCAGAUAUCAGGAGGAACACCGAUGGCGAAGGCAGGUCACUGGGCCGCAACUGACGCUGAGGAAGCGGAAAGCAUGGGGAGCGAACAGG
rnacentral:rRNA from 1 species